UUUUUUUUGUGCGCGCCGUUCAACUCCUUACCAUACAUUACGAAGAAGAGUUCCCAAAGUACAAAUUGUGCAUCAUCCCGAUUUCACAACACUUCUUCAGUCGCCAAAACCAGCCAUUUCCCUCCGUUUGGCUACCGAGAAACCGAAGAAAGGGAAAAUAUUAACGAAAAGUUUCGUCGCCAAAUGGAUAAAAAUUCAAAAGCAUUCUUGCGAUUGAUGAGAGGAGAUGUAGGACAUCGUUGAGCUUUACAGUACGUAUCGUUGCAUUUCUGAGCAUCCAUGUCAAGGAUUAGCGAGUUGCAACUUAUUUGGAUUCUGAGUAGGGAAGAGCUGUAAAUUUGAGGAAUAGCUCUUGUGGGCAGAUGCUUAUAGUGAUCAAUAUCAUUUUACUCUUAUAUCUCUACUACAUGCAUGAUUUAUUAUAUUAAUUCAGCUCUAUGUUCAGUCCUAAUGUAAUAAGUAGAUUCAAUUAUUAUUAUUGUUUCCCUUGAUUUCUAUGGUAGUAAUGGAAAUUACAUGAAAAGCCCAUUUAAUUUAACAUUUUGCCAUCCAAGUUUUGCCUUGGCAUCAUGUUUUAUGACAAAAAAAUUUAACUAUUUUUUUUUUGUCAAUAGGUAUCUGGGGGAGGGGGUGGUUAAUUGAAUGCUGGUAAGUAUGAGAUUUUCAUAUAUGUUUUGUCAAUCUAUUUAGUAGGUGGUAGGCAAAAAG